GUCCUUAGUUACCAGCACGUUAUGGUGGGCACUCUAAGGAGACUGCCGGUGACAAACCGGAGGAAGGUGGGGAGUGACGUCAAGUCAUCAUGGCCCUUACGGCCUGGGCUACACACGUGCUACAAUGGUCGGUACAAAGGGUUGCCAAGCCGCGAGGUGGAGCUAAUCCCAUAAAAACCGAUCGUAGUCCGGAUCGCAGUCUGCAACUCGACUGCGUGAAGUCGGAAUCGCUAGUAAUCGUGAAUCAGAAUGUCACGGUGAAUACGUUCCCGGGCCUU
rnacentral:rRNA from 1 species